AUUGAACGCUGGCGGCAGGCCUAACACAUGCAAGUCGAGCGGAUGAAGGGAGCUUGCUCCUGGAUUCAGCGGCGGACGGGUGAGUAAUGCAUAGGAAUCUGCCUGGUAGGGGGGGAUAACGUCCGGAAACGGGCGCUAAUAACGCAUACGUCCUGAGGGAGAAAGUGGGGGAUCUUCGGACCGCACGCUAGCAGAUGAGCCUAGGUCGGAUUAGCUAGUUGGUGGGGUAAAGGCCUACCAAGGCGACGAUCCGUAACUGGUCUGAGAGGAUGAUCAGUCACACUGGAACUGAGACACGGUCCAGACUCCUACGGGAGGCAGCAGUCGGGAAUAUUAGACAAUGGUCGAAAGCCUUAUCCAGCCAUGCCGCGUCUGUGAAGAAGGUCUUCCGAUUGUAAAGCACUUUAAGUUGGGAUGAAGGGCAGUAAGUUAAUACCUUGCUUUUUUGACGUUACCAACAGAAUAAGCACCGGCUAACUUCGUG
rnacentral:rRNA from 1 species